GGGGAUGUGGCUCCGUGGUCGAGCGCUUGCCUACCGUGUGCCAGACCCUGGGUUCCAUCCCCAGCACCUCCU
rnacentral:tRNA from 1 species